CUUCGGGUGGGGAUUAGUGGCGAACGGGUGAGUAACACGUGGGCAAUCUGCCCUGCACUCUGGGACAAGCCCUGGAAACGGGGUCUAAUACCGGAUACUGAACCGCUCGGGCAUCCAGGCGGUUCGAAAGCUCCGGCGGUGCAGGAUGAGCCCGCGGCCUAUCAGCUUGUUGGUGAGGUAACGGCUCACCAAGGCGACGACGGGUAGCCGGCCUGAGAGGGCGACCGGCCACACUGGGACUGAGACACGGCCCAGACUCCUACGGGAGGCAGCAGUGGGGAAUAUUGCACAAUGGGCGAAAGCCUGAUGCAGCGACGCCGCGUGAGGGAUGACGGCCUUCGGGUUGUAAACCUCUUUCAGCAGGGAAGAAGCGAAAGUGACGGUACCUGCAGAAGAAGCGCCGGCUAACUACGUGCCAGCAGCCGCGGUAAUACGUAGGGCGCGAGCGUUGUCCGGAAUUAUUGGGCGUAAAGAGCUCGUAGGCGGCUUGUCGCGUCGGUUGUGAAAGCCCGGGGCUUAACCCCGGGUCUGCAGUCGAUACGGGCAGGCUAGAGUUCGGUAGGGGAGAUCGGAAUUCCUGGUGUAGCGGUGAAAUGCGCAGAUAUCAGGAGGAACACCGGUGGCGAAGGCGGAUCUCUGGGCCGAUACUGACGCUGAGGAGCGAAAGCGUGCGGAGCGAACAGGAUUAGAUACCCUGGUAGUCCACGCCGUAAACGGUGGGCACUAGGUGUGGGCGACAUUCCACGUCGUCCGUGCCGCAGCUAACGCAUUAAGUGCCCCGCCUGGGGAGUACGGCCGCAAGGCUAGAACUCACAGGAAUUGACGGGGGCCCGCACAAGCGGCGGAGCAUGUGGCUUAAUUCGACGCAACGCGAAGAACCUUACCAAGGCUUGACAUACACCGGAAAGCAUCGGAGAUGGUGCCCCCCUUGUGGUCGGUG
rnacentral:rRNA from 1 species